UCUGCGUUUUGGGACUGGGAACCUCGCUGUGUUAACUUGUAAUAUUAUUUCGAUAAUAAUUCGAUGGAAACAGAGUGAACACAGCUGGUGGUAUCUCAGUUUCAUCGUAGAA